rnacentral:rRNA from 1 species
UACAGAGGGGGCAAGCGUUAUUCGGAAUUAUUGGGCGUAAAGGGCGCGUAGGCGGCAUGGCAAGUGGAUGGUGAAAUCCCUCGGCUUAACCGAGGAACUGCCGUCCAAACUGCUUCGCUUGAGACCGGGAGAGGUGAGUGGAAUUCCCAGUGUAGCGGUGAAAUGCGUAGAUAUUGGGAGGAACACCAGUGGCGAAGGCGGACUCACUGGACCGGUACUGACGCUGAUGUGCGAAAGCGUGGGGAGCAACAGG